rnacentral:RNase_P_RNA from 1 species
CGGAUCAGGUAAGGGUGAAACGGCGGGGUAAGAGCCCACCGCAGGGAUGGUGACAUCGCUGGCACGGUAAGCGUCGCCCGGUGCAAGGCCAAAUAGGAAGACACGUAUCGCACUCGCGAGAGUGCGGCACAACGACUGGCCCGGUCGAGGUCUUCGGGUAGGUCGCUCGAGGUUCGGGGCAAUCCGAAUCCCAGAGAAAUGAUCACCCACGCAUGGACUCCGGUUCAUGCUGGACAGAAUCCGGCUUAUAGGUUUCCUCGCUCG